rnacentral:tRNA from 1 species
GAGAGGUUAGUUAAACCAUAAUAUAAGAUUGUCAGUCUUACGUUACUAGUAAAACUAGUAUCUCUUG